AAUGGAGGCUUUAGAAACUUGAAGAGCCUGUUUUCAUCUCGUGCAGUGACAGGGACAGAUGUACUUCUCUAAUUUUAGAAGAAAUGCAGACAAUAUUGUCCAAAAAUCAAAGGAACAAAAUGGAGGAUUUUAAAAGAUUGACAGAAAAUCCAAAGCCACCGUAGUUCAGCAGCUUGAAAACAUUUAAAUGUGGAGCAUGAGCUGGGGUUCAAACCCCAACUUUAUGCUUAACUAAUGUCUAACUCUACCACUGAGCCACAGCUGCCCAAUCCAGAUCAGGUACUGUCUUUUCUGUUAUGCUCCUAAAAUGUUUAAACUCAAAGAAGAGUCUCCGUAAUUUUUGUACAUAUCUGAAAUAUGUUUUCCCUAGACAGGGCUUUAAGUCUCAUCAUGUAUCAGUCUCUUUUACAGCCUUGAUUGUUUUUACAAUCCCCACACCAUCUUUAAUCAUUAAUUUUUAUUUUCAACUCUGUUGUUGUAGAAAGCUGUAAAGAUGUCAGAUAUAUGUCCUUAAGUCAUGUUCUGCUUUGAGAAAGGCUACUGUAAGAAGGUGUGUAGGUACAGUGUAUCUAUCUAUAUUAAAAUCAAUAUUAUACCUUGGUACCAUGGAGUCACCCCCUCUCAGAGUAGUAGGAUCCAGCUCAAAGAUGGAGGAAAUAUCCAUGCCAUCAGGAACUGGCACCAAAGUGUACAUGAUCUUCUCCUGUGGUGCUCGCAGACGACCUCGUAAAGCUUCAUUAUCCGCAUCAAGCUAGAGCAAGAACACAUGCAGGGAAAGGGACUGAAGCACGAGCUAAACAUUUGCAACAAAGUUCAUGUUUAGUAUGUUUAACAAUCACAAUUCAAGGAGCUACUUAUGCUCAUACAAGAUAAGGAGAGUAUAAACAUUUUAACAUCAAUCUACUUGUCAUGACUGAAGCUAAAAUUACAGAUUGGCUCUGCAAAUAGUAAAUAGUAAAAUAUACUUCAGUCAUCAACACAGGUUGUUGGGACUUCACAGUAAAUAGAUUAUCACUACAGGGUCACACAACAUCAAUGAAAGGCUGAUAAUGGUUUGUAUAACACUGCCACCUAAUGGUAACUUCAAUCAACUGAGAUGAUACCACAAUGAGACCAAAGCAGAAAUCUGUUGCCAUUAACAUGUGAAGACAUAACCUAGAUUUCAAAAGUAAUUUGUGAUAACAUGUGCCUUCCAGCAGAGGAAGUAACAGGAUCAUGUGCAGGCAUGACAGUGGUUUUUGUGUAAAGUUGCUGCAGCCAAGUUAAGAUUAUAGGACAGUACCUGGAAAUUAAAGGGUGUAAAGUCCACAACCUGGAGCAGAGAGCAAAGAUCCAGCACAGAAUUGAACCGAUUAGAUCAACAGAAGUAAAGCAUUUAGCGUAGAGUUGCUAAGCACUCACAGAAUGAGAGAAAUGGUCUUACCGACGAGCGCUGCUCAGCACUUUCCUCCUCAAAGUCUUGAUUAACCUGGGGAAAAUAUUUUCAUGUCAAAAGUCCUCCUAAAUAUAAUUUUGUUGAAAUCCUGGACACAGCACCAGGUUUUCAAUUCCCUCCACUAUUUUAACAUUACGCAGCUUAUUGGUGAUCGAGAAUAGACUCAAUUUGCUGUUUUGUUGUUUGAUGUUUGACACAUAAUUAAAACACAGUGAGCUGAAAGAGAAGGAGUUGACACACCUCACCCAUCUCUGCAGCCAAGUAACACCCAGUGGCCAAGUGUUUAAACCUGAACAGGCUGUUCCAGUAGCCUGCACCUCCCCUACAUGGAUCAUGAUGCACAACCUGGCAGUGACAAAAGAUGAGGAAAAAAUACAAAUAAAAUGUCAUAUUUCACUUAAAAAAUACAAAUAAAAGUAAGAUGUUUCCCUUCCACUGACAUUAUAAAUGUUUAAACAGACUUGCUCCUCAGCCUUUCUGCAAAUACAUACGGAGACUACAGGGCUGCAGCAGAGCAGCUUCAAGUGGAAACUGAAAGUUUGAUUUUGCCAUUCAUCUGUUGCUCAAACAGCUUUUUCUGGGAAAGGAGUAAAAAUCCUGGAACUCACUACCUGAUCACUUGAAGCUUACUUACGACUUCACCACUUUUAAGACAGCCACCAAAUCCUGUGCUUUGCUGCUGGUUGCAGAAGUGGCAGACUGGCGGCCAGUUGUUCUAAGGAAAACAUGCUGCUUCUUCCUGUGGUCAUCACAAGUGAGAAACUUCUCCUGCUCUGCAUGGAACAGCCGGACUACAUCACCCUGCCAAUACAUACAGACACAUACAAUACAUACAUAAACAAGCAAGUCGAAUGUGGAACUGAUUUAAAGCAACAUUUUACACACGUGCAAUUAUUUUCUUGCAAUAUGAAUCAUCUUGCCAUUGAUUCUAUACACACUUGUUGUUUAAUAUAAUCGUAUAUGUGUGCUAUAAAGUUGACUAAUGAAGGAGUUUCAAAAUUCAAAUUCAUGAAAAUGCAUCACUAUAAGAUGAUUACAUACAAAAAAGGGUCCCUACCCCUUUAAGUAUUGUUUCCUUGUUGUCACUCCAUUUCAUAAACAGAACAACUUUCCAACUCGUGUUGCAAUUUACAGAAUUCACCUGAAAGACACACGAACAGUUUGAUCAAAUCAGACACAUUUAAAGAAAAAAAACAUGUCAUUCUAUAAAAAAUGUUUGUCUUGUAAUAAAAUGAAGCGGUUCAACCUAUGAUGAGAUGAAAAUUAAGUCUUAUAUUUAACACGUUUUCUGCACCUCAUUGCAC